rnacentral:rRNA from 1 species
GAUGAACGCUGGCGGCGUGCCUAAUACAUGCAAGUCGAGCGAACAGACGAGGAGCCUGCUCCUCUGACGUUAGCGGCGGACGGGUGAGUAACACGUGGAUAACCUACCUAUAAGACUGGGAUAACUUCGGGAAACCGGAGCUAAUACCGGAUAAUAUAUUGAACCGCAUGGUUCAAUAGUGAAAGACGGUUUUGCUGUCACUUAUAGAUGGAUCCGCGCCGCAUUAGCUAGUUGGUAAGGUAACAGCUUACCAAGGCAACGAUGCGUAGCCGACCUGAGAGGGUGAUCGGCCACACUGGAACUGAGACACGGUCCAGACUCCUACGGGAGGCAGCAGUAGGGAAUCUUCCGCAAUGGGCGAAAGCCUGACGGAGCAACGCCGCGUGAGUGAUGAAGGUCUUCGGAUCGUAAAACUCUGUUAUUAGGGAAGAACAAAUGUGUAAGUAACUAUGCACGUCUUGACGGUACCUAAUCAGAAAGCCACGGCUAACUACGUG